rnacentral:rRNA from 1 species
UAGGGAAUCUUCGGCAAUGGGGGCAACCCUGACCGAGCAACGCCGCGUGAGUGAAGAAGGUUUUCGGAUCGUAAAGCUCUGUUGUAAGAGAAGAACGUGUGUGAGAGUGGAAAGUUCACACAGUGACGGUAACUUACCAGAAAGGGACGGCUAACUACGUGCCAGCAGCCGCGGUAAUACGUAGGUCCCGAGCGUUGUCCGGAUUUAUUGGGCGUAAAGCGAGCGCAGGCGGUUUAAUAAGUCUGAAGUUAAAGGCAGUGGCUUAACCAUUGUUCGCUUUGGAAACUGUUAAACUUGAGUGCAGAAGGGAAGAGUGGAAUUCCAUGUGUAGCGGUGAAAUGCGUAGAUAUAUGGAGGAACACCGGUGGCGAAAGCGGCUCUCUGGUCUGUAACUGACGCUGAGGCUCGAAAGCGUGGGGAGCAAACAGG